rnacentral:rRNA from 1 species
UACGUAGGGACCAAGCGUUGUUCGGAUUUACUGGGCGUAAAGGGCGCGUAGGCGGCAAUUCAAGUCAGUUGUGAAAUCUCCGAGCUUAACUCGGAACGGUCAACUGAUACUGUUUUGCUAGAGUACAGAAGGGGCAAUCGGAAUUCUUGGUGUAGCGGUGAAAUGCGUAGAUAUCAAGAGGAACACCUGAGGUGAAGACGGGUUGCUGGGCUGAUACUGACGCUGAUGCGCGAAAGCCAGGGGAGCGAACGGG